AGAGUUUGAUCCUGGCUCAGGAUGAACGCUGGCGGCGUGCUUAACACAUGCAAGUCGAACGAAGCGCUUAAAUGGAAUUCUUCGGAAGGAAACUUAAGUGACUGAGUGGCGGACGGGUGAGUAACGCGUGGGUAACCUGCCUCAUACAGGGGGAUAACAGUUAGAAAUGACUGCUAAUACCGCAUAAGCACACGUGAUCGCAUGAUCGGGUGUGAAAAACUCCGGUGGUAUGAGAUGGACCCGCGUCUGAUUAGCUGGUUGGUGGGGUAACGGCCUACCAAGGCGACGAUCAGUAGCCGGCCUGAGAGGGUGACCGGCCACAUUGGGACUGAGACACGGCCCAAACUCCUACGGGAGGCAGCAGUGGGGAAUAUUGCACAAUGGGGGAAACCCUGAUGCAGCGACGCCGCGUGAAGGAUGAAGUAUUUCGGUAUGUAAACUUCUAUCAGCAGGGAAGAAAAUGACGGUACCUGACUAAGAAGCCCCGGCUAACUACGUGCCAGCAGCCGCGGUAAUACGUAGGGGGCAAGCGUUAUCCGGAUUUACUGGGUGUAAAGGGAGCGUAGACGGCAGUGCAAGUCUGAAGUGAAAACCCGGGGCUCAACCCCGGGACUGCUUUGGAAACUGUGCAGCUGGAGUGUCGGAGAGGCAAGCGGAAUUCCUAGUGUAGCGGUGAAAUGCGUAGAUAUUAGGAGGAACACCAGUGGCGAAGGCGGCUUGCUGGACGAUGACUGACGUUGAGGCUCGAAAGCGUGGGGAGCAAAACAGGAUUAGAUACCCUGGUAGUCCACGCCGUAAACGAUGACUACUAGGUGUCGGGGAGCAAAGCUCUUCGGUGCCGCAGCCAACGCAAU
rnacentral:rRNA from 1 species